CCCUUAGAUGUUCUGGGCCGCACGCGUGCUACACUGAACGGUUCAAUGGGUAAGGUAGUGCGAAAGCAUGACCUAAUCUCGAAAUCCGUUCGUGCUGGGGAUGGAAGCUUGCAAUUAUCCUUCUUGAACGAGGAAUACCUUGUAAGCGUGAGUCAUCAUCUCACGCUGAAUACGUCCCUGCCCUUUGUACACACCGCCCGUCGCUCCUACCGAUUGAGUGUUCCGGUGAGGCUUUGGGAGAAUGGCCUCAACAUGAGUUUAUCGUGUUUUGCCGUUUGAACUUAGUCAAACCUUAUCACUUAGAGGAAGGAGAAGUCGUAACA
rnacentral:rRNA from 1 species